UACUCCCGCCGGCGACCGGCGCACGGGUGAGUAACACGUAUGAAACCUGCCCGUAGCGAGGGGAUAAGCGGAAGAAAUUCCGUCUAAUACCGCGUAACAACCCGAGGAGGCAUCUCCUCGGGUUUAAAGGAAGCGAUUCCGGCUACGGAUGGUCAUGCGUCGCAUUAGCUAGUUGGCGGGGUAACGGCCCACCAAGGCGACGAUGCGUAGGGGUUCUGAGAGGAAGGUCCCCCACACUGGUACUGAGACACGGACCAGACUCCUACGGGAGGCAGCAG
rnacentral:rRNA from 1 species